UUAACUCAAAUUUUACUUUAAUUCCUGUUGUUUCAUUUCAAAGAAUCUGAUUUUACAUGUAUAUUUCAAGAGAUUGACGAGGGUCUCAAAAUAUGCUCUCUCUCUCUCUAAAAAAAACUCUAGCCACUCUCUCCUUCUCUUUGAUAUCUAUUUUAACUCAAAUUUUACUUUAAUUAGCUUUCUUCUCCCAUUUGUUUCUACUCUAACAAUUUCAUUAUUUUUGUUUCAUGUUCCUCACUAUAUACGGAAACUUUUAGAUCUAAACUCAAAUCUUAUUCAUAAUUAAGAUCCGGCACUAUUAAAUGCAUUUUUAUAAGCAAUUAUCUCAUAUUCAUAAUAUUUUAUUUUAUAAUAUAGGGGUGAGAAUUAUAGGAUCAUAACUACCGACUGCAACGAUAAAGGAAAGGUGUUUGGUGGUGAUUGUUAGUUUUGUUUUUUUUUUUGUUGCAAUAAUGUCUCUUUGUAUAAAGGUUUCCUCCUUUCAUGGAGGCUUUCUUCGUUUUAUUCCUUUUGGGAUCUGUCUAUAUAUUCUAAUAUAUUUUAUUAAAUAAAGUUAGAUAUGCAAUAUAUUAGGCAUCGUGCUUUUUAAAAAAAAAAAAAAAAAAAAGUACACUUUUAAUUUAACCGAA